UACGGGAGGCAGCAGUGGGGAAUAUUGCACAAUGGGCGCAAGCCUGAUGCAGCCAUGCCGCGUGUAUGAAGAAGGCCUUCGGGUUGUAAAGUACUUUCAGUCGUGAGGAAGGUGUUAAGGUUAAUAACCUUAGCAAUUGACGUUAGCGACAGAAGAAGCACCGGCUAACUCCGUGCCAGCAGCCGCGGUAAUACGGAGGGUGCGAGCGUUAAUCGGAAUUACUGGGCGUAAAGGGCACGCAGGCGGUUAAUUAAGUUGGAUGUGAAAUCCCCGGGCUUAACCUGGGAAUGGCAUUCAAGACUGGUUAGCUAGAGUCUUGUAGAGGGGGUAGAAUUCCAUGUGUAGCGGUGAAAUGCGUAGAGAUGUGGAGGAAUACCGGUGGCGAAGGCGGCCCCUGGGACAAAGGCUGACGCUCAUGUGCGAAAGCGUGGGGAGCAAACAGGGAUUAGAUA
rnacentral:rRNA from 1 species